AAAUAAGAAGCAAAUAUUGCAUUUAGUUUCGACCUAAAAAUAUGAUGAAAUAAUCAUCCUUAUUUU
rnacentral:tRNA from 1 species